CUACACACCAGCCCCAGAGGAAUGUCAUCUUCCUUUGCGGCAGCACCUCGGCGCAGGGGGAGACACACCAGAGCUUCCAGCCAAACACCUUCCCUAUAGGAUUUCUUCUUUUCCAGCUGAAGGCAGAUGCAGGAGGGCAGGGAGCCUCCACCCCAUCCUCACCCAGCUCCCUGCAGAUGCACAACAGCUUGACCCUGUCAUGAAGAACAAAUCACUCCAGAACAAUGUCAAGUGUGGGACUGGUGGAGUGGUUCCCAGCCUCUUCCUCCUCUGCUGCUGCACACCCAGGGAUGGGUCCAGCCCUGGCAAGGAGCAAGGACCCUUUUCUGCCUCCUGCCAGCCCCACAGCAGCUGUGGGUUUUGACCCCCAUGAAAGGAGGACUGCUGGUGGCAUAGAUGUGACAUAUUGCAGGCAGCCUGCAAUUCACCUCCUUGCUGAGAAUGAGGGCUAUCACCUCCAGUAUUUUCUAAAUAUUAGAUGCAUUUAUGGGGUUGUUGUUUUGUUGGUUUGGCCCCUGAAUCUAAAUCCUUCAGCCAACUUUUGGGUUUAUAUUGCCUAUUUUACACCUUUUGUGGACUGGUUAGCAGUGAAACCAGGGGAUAAAUAGACUCAUUAGUUAAGUUUAGAAAUAAAUGUUUAAAUUCUGUUACAUUAUUGAUUUUAUGGAUAGGGAAAUAACUAUUUAGUUAGAAAUAACCACUAAACAUUUAUCGAGAUACUCAGAUUUUAAAUGAUAGCUCUCUUUCUGCCCUAGUCUAAAGGAUCAAAGCAAAAAUGCAUAAACUAGACAAAAGUUUUUAUAUUCCAGUGUUUUCAUGAAGUGAUUUUCUACAUGAAUCUUAAUCGCUUACCACAGAAAUAUCCUCAGGCGAUGGUAGCGCGAUUAAGACUUUUUCUUUAAAUAGUACACAAGCUAAUGCAGUGCAUAUGGUGCCAUUAGCAACUUCAAACCAGUAUUUGGAUAUUCAUUUAAUUUAAAACAGUGUGUGCUAACAGAAAACUUAGCAGUAAUGAUAAAAGUAAACCUGGGUAGGGAAGUAAACAGUGCUAUUUCUGUUGGGUGGGUAAGCCAUUAGUCAAAAUCAACAGAAUCAGAUUUUGAGAGCAAGUACAAGCACUAUGUAUUUUCUUUCCUAUAAUGAUUUAAGAAAAAAACCUUUUUUUUUUGUUU